rnacentral:rRNA from 1 species
UACGGGGGGAGCAAGCGUUGUUCGGAGUUACUGGGCGUAGAGGGCGCGUAGGCGGUCAGCACAAGUCAGUUGUGAAAUCUCCGGGCUUAACUCGGAAAGGUCAACUGAUACUGUGCGACUAGAGUGCGGAAGGGGCAACUGGAAUUCUCGGUGUAGCGGUGAAAUGCGUAGAUAUCGAGAGGAACACCUGCGGCGAAGGCGGGUUGCUGGGCCGACACUGACGCUGAUGCGCGAAAGCGUGGGGAGCAAACAGG